rnacentral:rRNA from 1 species
GACGUAGGGGGCCAGCGUUGCUCGGAAUUACUGGGCGUAAAGGGUCCGUAGGCGGUGCGACAAGUCGGAAGUGAAAUCUCCGGGCUUAACUCGGAGCCUGCUUCCGAAACUGCCGUGCUCGAGUGCGGGAGAGGCGAGUGGAAUUGCAGGUGUAGCGGUGAAAUGCGUAGAUAUCUGCAGGAACACCCGCGGCGAAGGCGGCUCGCUGGACCGCAACUGACGCUGAGGGACGAAAGCUAGGGGAGCAAACAGG